UACGUAGGGUGCGAGCGUUGUCCGGAAUUAUUGGGCGUAAAGGGCUCGUAGGCGGUUUGUCGCGUCGGGAGUGAAAACCAGGUGCUUAACACCUGGCUUGCUUUCGAUACGGGCAGACUAGAGGUAUUCAGGGGAGAACGGAAUUCCUGGUGUAGCGGUGAAAUGCGCAGAUAUCAGGAGGAACACCGGUGGCGAAGGCGGUUCUCUGGGAAUGUCCUGACGCUGAGGAGCGAAAGUGUGGGGAGCGAACAGG
rnacentral:rRNA from 1 species